UACAGGGGGUGCAAACGUUGCUCGGAAUCAUUGGGCGUAAAGCGCACGUAGGCGGUCUGUUAUGUCGGAUGUGAAAGCCCUUGGCUUAACUGAGGAAGUGCAUCCGAAACUGGCAAGCUAGAGUACUAAAGAGGGUCGCGGAAUUCCCGGUGUAGUGGUGGAAUGCGUAGAGAUCGGGAGGAACACCAGUGGCGAAAGCGGCUCUCUGGGCCUUACCUGACGCCCAGGCGCGAAAGCUAGGGGAGCGAACAGG
rnacentral:rRNA from 1 species